rnacentral:tRNA from 1 species
CGUGGUGUAGCUCAGUUGGUUAGAGCGUCAAGGUGCAUAACUUUGGGGGGUCAGCGGUUCGAAUCCGUUCACCACAACAA